rnacentral:rRNA from 1 species
UCUCUCUGAAUCUGCGAACGGCUCCGCAAACCAGUUGUAAACCAAAGCAAGCAAGCCUGCGGCUCGGCCCUCACGGGUUGGGUUGUGGGUGAUAUGGAUAACCCUGGUAAUUCUGAGGCUAAUACGAGAACGUAAUCCCUGGCUGACCGGGUAACUGGAAAGCUGGGGGGCGUGUGAUCUAUUUUGCAAGAUGAUCCAGGGAGGGGUGCACGCUCUGACCGCGACAAAGACAGUGACGGCAAACCCUCGGGUGAGUCGGAUCUGAGCGGCUCUUGCGAUGUGCUUCUGACCUAUCAACUAGAUGGCAGCGUAACGGACAUGCCAUGGUUACAACGGGUACAGAGGAUUAGGGUUCGAUCCUGGAGAGUGGGCCUGAGAGAUU